rnacentral:rRNA from 1 species
CAAAUUUUAAAUCUACCUGGUUUCCAGGUCGAGUUGUAAUUUGAAGAAGUGUUUUUUACUUUCCGGGUUGGGUUAAAUCCUUUGGGAUAAGGUAUCAUGGAGGGUGAGAAUCCCGUGUAUACCAACCGCAGGAUYGUUUAAUAUACACUUUCUAAGAGUCGAGUUGUUUGGGAAUGCAGCUCUAAAUGGGUGGUAAAUUUCACCUAAUGCUAAAUAUAAGCGAGAGACCGAUAGCGAACAAGUACCGUGAGGGAAAGAUGAAAAGAACUUUGAAAAGAGAGUUAAAUAGUACGUGAAAUUGUUGAAAGGGAAACGGUUGAAGUCAGUCAUGCCGGCGGGAAUCAACUUAGGGGAAACUCUGAGUGCACUUCUUCGCUUGGCAGGUUAGCGUCGAUUUUGGAUGUCAUAAAAUGACUGGGGGAAGGUAGCUCUUUCGGGAGUGUUAAGCCCUURGUAGAUGUGAUGUCCGGGAUCGAGGAUUGCAACGGAUACCUUUUGGGCUAMCCGCCUAGUCUCUAAUACGAAGUUGGGUUAUGGACAGCACGCUGACUGUGAUCUGAUUUUCGGUU